rnacentral:antisense_RNA from 1 species
CGUUAUGGCGGCUGUGCGCGGGAGGCUUAGUGCCUACCGGGUUUUCCUGAAUGCAUCCGAGUCCACCCCGUGUACAGCUGCAACCCUU